rnacentral:misc_RNA from 1 species
AACGCACAUUGCGCCCACUAGUAUUCUGGCGGGCAUGCCUGUUCGAGCGUCAUUUCAAACUUCAAGUAAUACUUGGUGUUGGAGCCAGCGAAAUUCGCGGCUUUCAAAACUAUUAGCAGAUCUAUGAUGAUCUAGACUUAGUAAUAUCUCUAGUCUUUGAUUUAUUGUAUGAUUUCGCUUAACGUUUUCCAAUUUUGUUGGAAGCUCUUUCUUAGUUUGACCUCGGAUCAGGUAGGAAUACCCGCUGAACUUAA